rnacentral:tRNA from 1 species
CAGUAGCUUAGCUGGAUAGAGUGUUCGGCUACGAACCGGAAGGUCGGGGGUUCGAAUCCCUCCUGGUGC